GUUGGGUUAGUGGUUAGUAAAAAGGGCGAAAGGCGUAACAAACGUUGGUUUGAAAGACUUUUUAUUUUUCAUAUUUUUAUUUUAUUUCGAUGGAUUGUUCAAACAAAGAUAUUUGAUAAACUUUGUUUGUUUGUUUGUUUGGCUUCAUCGAAAUUAUUAUUUUUUUUUAGGAAGUCAUAAGAGAACCGAAUGUUGUUACUAAAAAGUAAAAAAAAUAAAAAGGUUUAGGAGGGUAAAAAGGGUUAUUUUGGGUUAAGAAAUGAAAAGGUUUAGGCUCAAAGGGGUUAACUAGGGGGAUUUUGGGUAGGUGGUAAAAAAAAAAAGAAAAAUAAUGGUAUAGAAUGAAAAAGGGUUAGUCCUAAUGCCUCCAUCAUUUACUUACUCGGGUUUAAGUUGGUAAGGACCGGGAAUGUAUUGUUGUGGGAAGUUCUAGGGUCGUAUGAACCAAGCGGCUAUUCACACAAGAAACGAAAAAUGAGCAUUUAGUGUAAAGAUAUAUAUAUUUGUAUGCUCGUUAAAGGCUCAAAACUCACUUUUGUGGGAAAAGGGUUUUUAUGUGAUCAAACAAGUAAAAAAAUGAAAAUUUUUGAAAAAAAUUUGGGGUGA
rnacentral:lncRNA from 1 species